ensembl:lncRNA
CUUUAUUGGUAUAGAACACCUUCAGUGGUAGGAAGCAGUGUGCACUGAAGCUUUUAUUUACCCACCAGCUGACAAAAUGCGACUUUAAAGCUGAGCAACACCACCCUCCUCUCUUUGCAUCCGCAGAGGGAAGAUGCAGCCCCAGCAUAACACAGCAUAACACGGGGCUUCUGACCACGUGGAAGCGCACAGAGUUUGAAGGAAAGAAGAUAAAAGUACUCUUCUUGCUUUUCAUCUUAGAAAACCUGAAAUGAUCUUUUCUGAGCAGUUCUGGAGUGGCAAUGAAGGGACACAUGCACCCAACAAGCAGGCAGGUCGUUGGUGUGCUGGCAUGCUUAGGGGCUGAAUGGGAGUGCGUAAAUGGUGACAACCUGAUUCUGAAUAAAUCCGAUAUAAAGUUGCUUUAUAGUUCUCUCAGCUCCGGGUCUUCAGGUUUGUCUUCAGGACUUCUGAAAUGCACUCUCAGUUUUGAAAUAGUUUUGUUUUCUAACUUUGCAUCACAGCAUCCCAAACUGUGUGAUGGAGUAAUGCAGAGUGGGUAUCUGUAUGUGCCGUGGGUUAAGCAGGAUGAGAUUCACUGAGCUGCGUGGUGAAGGCUCAGAACAGAGGAGUGACAUUUUCCUCUCACCAAAGCUGAGUUUCUGUUGAAAUGUGGUUUUGCUUCCAGCUCCCAGUUUCCCCUUCCCUGUCUGGAGAAAACAGGAUCUGCACAGCUCCAUUUGUUCUGUGGGCAGCACGAGGCAGAGGGAAUCUAUUUGUAUGCACUUAAAAGACCCCUCACUGCUUUACAAGUUCUUAAACCUAAAAGAACGGUAGGAAGGGACUGCACACAGCAGCUCUGCUCACUCAGCUUUCUCCCUGGUUGAGGGACAACAAGAACAGGCCAGACAGUUUCCCUUCUGUUUAUAGUUUCUCAGCAUUUUCUCUUUCAUGUUGUCACUUCCUCGAAUAGCAGUACAAUGAAAUUAACUACAAACAUCCAGAUGCUAGUUAAAAACAAAAUGUACCGGAGCAUUGCUCACACUGGGUAACUUAUUACAUGUGCCUUACACCUGCUUUGAAAAUGUCCCCUCAAAGGAAAAGUAAAGCAACUGCUUGGAUUUUAUGUGGGUUUUUGUGAAUGUCUUUUUCAGUUGUUUUCCUUUCAGACCUGGAGCUGAAGCCAUUGGCACCCAAAGAGUUCUGCCCAGAUGUGUGCCCGCCUUCUGCUCAGAGCAGCAGAGCCGAUGAAACACACACUGCACAGCAGCUUGCGAUGCAUGGGAAAGGCUGGACGGGCUGGAGCAGCUCCUCCGAGCUCCUGGUGUACAACAGCACAAAAUGCAAUUGGUCAGAGCGUGAUCAGACUCGCAUAGUUGGAAUACCAAAGGAGCGAGUCACCUUCCACUCUUGCUGUAGCCAGCGUUAGGAAGAGAUGUCCAGGUCUGCAACAGACUGUUUUCUCCUUUUGUUUGGAUGUGAAGGGUUCUGUUCUUCACAGAAGCAGGAACAGACCCCCCACUCAUUGAUUUGCAUCCAGGAAACGGAAGGUAACUGAUAUCAGGGAGACGGACGAGGUGAUUGUAUCCAUGACAACCAGCAGAUACAGCCUUGCUGCCUGGCAGCCCUUCCCUGGUCACCUCCUCUGCCUUCCCAGCUCCAGUGGGUCCCUCUCCUCGAGGCACCUCUUGGUGCAGUUCAGUGUUCCUGAGAAGUAGCUGACAAAUUCCCAAAUGUAGUGUGGCGAGAGCUUAAUCAGUUCUCAUGUCCAUCAGCAGAACGCUUCCCCAAUCUGAGCUGCAUCUGCUUCUGCCAAGGACUCCCUGGCAGCCCCAAAGGUGGCUUCAGGAAAUCCGGUCCAUGGAGGAACAGCAUGACUUGCAGGAGCACUGCACAGAUGCAGGUUGGGCUCAGAACCAGCAGGCAAAAUACAGCAUGCAGCCUGAAAGCAUUUCAGGUAUGCCAACCACCUUAACAAAUGCAGGAAUCAGUGAAUCGAGCAAGGCAGCAGGAUGCUCGCCUCUGCUGGAAGCGCUGGCAGAAGUUAAAUGUGUUGUUCUCUGAGCAGAGCUUCAAUCUGCACAUGUCCUUCUGGGAGGAGAGCUGCCUGCACUGCAGUCCCCGAGGAGUUCCUCACCCCACACCUGCUGGAGUGUCCCUCCUGCAUUCCAGACCUGCCCUGGAGAACGCUGCCACGUGAGGCAGUGCACAGCAGUGAGGAAUGGAAAGAAAUCUGUCACAAAAGGAAAAAGCAAUUCUGCUGCUGAAUCCAGCCAGAGCUCCUUGUUUGCAGGACUCCUGCUGUAUAUCGUCAGUGUGGUGUUUGAACCAUAAUAAGGAAAAAUGUCUCCCUGGGAUCAAAAAAAAAAAGUUGAUUUCUCAUCUCUUCCUCUGCACUGGAAAAACAAAGCAGAAGAGGUGAGGAAAUGAGAGCCUGAACUGAGAGCUGGGCGUUAGAAGACAGGACGUGGAGUUCAAGUUCUGUCCUGAUGAGCUAUUGAAAACAUGACUCAGUUUCCCUAUUAGUGAUGGGGUUAACAACGAGCUGAUGAGUGAAUCUUAAAAAUGCAAAGAAGGUUGCUGUAAACUCUAAUUAAAGGCCCUCUGAGUGUAUACACAAAGCAGAUUACAAGAGUCUGUCUUUGUAAAUUGCAGCAGGCAUUUGGGAUUCGGCUUGUGUGUUUUCAUGCCUGCAAUCUCUUUGCAUCUCCUUAUAUGUGUAAAAGCAGCGUAGCAUGAAGCCCACAGUUAAAGAAAGAUGCUUCCUGGCUCCAGGAGGAACGAAUGGAUACUGUGAGCUGUGGGAGCACCACACAGCCGGGUGGAGAAUCACUGCCACAGCUUUCAGUGUACGCAGUUAAAAUCGGCCUCUGGUUGUGUGGCAGUGAUACGUGUCCUGUCCUGUUCAUCUCCUGCACUUGAAUCGCAGUUAUUGAAGGAAGGUCAGUCUGCAAAGCAACAGCAUUGCUGCUCUGAGUGCCACA